AAACAUUAUUUUGAGGAUGUUGAUGGAUUCUCUAGUCUACCGGAGAAUAUUUUUUAAUUGAAAUUAACUAAAAGAUAGGUUUUCUAAUUCGAAAAGCAUUUAUAUGUUUAACUAAUCAAAGAAAAGCUUUGGCAUAAAUUAAAAUGGAUGAAAACAAGAAGAUUGAAGUGAACACAAAUUGCAUAAAGGAAGAUUUAAUGUAUUGCAUAAAAAAAAUAAAAGAUUUUCUAAAAAGAAAACAGAAAUUAACUUCAACCUAGAACAGGGAUUGCAUGAAAGAAAAUUGCUAGAUUUCAUAAAAAGAAAAUUGAUUACAAAUAAAAAUGGAGAUUGGAAGCCUAAUGUUUCUUCUCUUUUGCAAAUAACAUAAAGAAAACAAAACAAGAAGCUUCUCUCUCCUGGUGGAACCCCUAAAACAAAUAAAAUAAUAUUUUUUUCUUCUUCUU
rnacentral:lncRNA from 1 species